ensembl:lncRNA SLC8A1-AS1 SLC8A1 antisense RNA 1
ACAGAUCAGUGAAACAAAAGAAGAAAAAAAAAAUCCUUGUCCUGUCCUUGAGAUGAGACAGGUGCAUGUAAUAUAUAAUAAUUAAAGUAUUUAGUAUGCUAGAUGUGCUAUGGAAAGAGUACAGGAAAGCUAGGGAGAUGAGGAGUAAUGAGGUGAGAGAUGGCAGUUGAAAUCUGAAAUAGGAUCAUCAAGCUCUCAAAUCUCCAGGCAGCCUCUAUUGAUUGAUCUGAGUUGGCAGAUGAGUUGGCAGGCAAGGGCAGUGACUGGAAGCUGGGAGAGAGGGUCAACAGCUGAAUCUCAGCCUGAUGGAGGCCACCAUUUAAU